CUACGGGAUGCAGCAGCAGGGAAUAUUGCACAAUGGACGGAAGUCUGAUGCAGCGACGCCGCGUGGAUGAUGAAGGCCCUCGGGUUGUAAAAUCCUUUUCAGGGGGACGAGGAAGGACGGUACCCUUGGAAUAAGCGUCGGCUAACUACGUGCCAGCAGCCGCGGUAAGACGUAGGACGCAAGCGUUAUCCGGAUUUACUGGGCGUAAAGCGUCUGUAGGCGGAAUGGUAAGUUGGAUGUGAAAGCUCCGGGCUCAACUCGGAGAGGUCGUUCAAUACUGCCAAACUAGAGGGCAUCAGAGGAGCGUGGAAUUUCCGGUGUAGCGGUAAAAUGCGCAGAUAUCGGAAGGAACACCAAUGGCGAAGGCAGCGCUCUGGGAUGAACCUGACGCUAAGAGACGAAAGCUAGGGGAGCGAACAGGAUUAGAUACCCGCGUAGUC
rnacentral:rRNA from 1 species